GAUGAACGCUGGCGGCGUGCCUAAUACAUGCAAGUCGAGCGAACGGACGAGAAGCUUUCUUCUCUGAUGUUAGCGGCGGACGGGUGAGUAACACGUGGAUAACCUACCUAUAAGACUGGGAUAACUUCGGGGAACCGGAGCUAAUACCGGAUAAUCUUUUGAACCGCAUGGUUCAAAAGUGAAAGACGGUCUUGCUGUCACUUAUAGAUGGAUCCGCGCUGCAUUAGCUAGUUGGUAAGGUAGCGGCUUACCAAGGCAACGAUGCAUAGCCGACCUGAGAGGGUGAUCGGCCAAACUGGAACUGAGACACGGUCCAGACUCCUACGGGAGGCAGCAGUAGGGAAUCUUCCGCAAAGGGCGAAAGCCUGACGGAGCAACGCCGCGUGAGUGAUGAAGGUCUUCGGAUCGUAAAACUCUGUUAUUAGGGAAGAACAGAUGUGUAAGUAACUGUGCACAUCUUGACGGUACCUAAUCAGAAAGCCACGGCUAACUACGUG
rnacentral:rRNA from 1 species